rnacentral:rRNA from 1 species
CUACGGGUGGCUGCAGUGAGGAAUAUUGGUCAAUGGCCGAGAGGCUGAACCAGCCAUCCCGCGUGCAGGAUGACGGCCCUAUGGGUUGUAAACUGCUUUUCUACGCCAAGAAAUCUGAUUAUGAGUAAUUAGUUGACGGUAGCGUAGGAAUAAGCAUCGGCUAACUCCGUGCCAGCAGCCGCGGUAAUACGGAGGAUGCAAGCGUUAUCCGGAUUCAUUGGGUUUAAAGGGUGCGCAGGCGGGCUUGUAAGUCAGUGGUGAGAUACUGCCGCUUAACGGUAGAACUGCCAUUGAUACUGCAAGUCUUGAAUAUGGUUGAGGUAGGCGGAAUGUGUUGUGUAGCGGUGAGAUGCAUAGAUAUGACACAGAACGCCGAUUGCGAAGGCAGCUUACUAAGCCAUUAUUGACGCUGAGGCACGAAAGCGUGGGGAGCGAACAGGAUUAGAUACCCUGGUAGUC